rnacentral:misc_RNA from 1 species
UCCCGGUUAACCCGGGCAGUCUCAUUAGAGUCCCCGCCUUUACGCGCUGGCAACUAAUGAUAAGGGUUGCGCUCGUUGCGGGACUUAACCCAACACCUCACGGCACGAGCUGACGACAGCCAUGCAGCACCUCUGUAGCAGUCCUUGCGGAAAGCCUAAUCUCUUAAGCGGUCCACUACAGUUCAAGCCUGGGUAAGGUUCUUCGCGUUGCAUCGAAUUAAACCACAUGCUCCACUGCUUGUGCGGGCCCCCGUCAAUUCUUUUGAGUUUCAGCCUUGCGACUGUACUCCCCAGGCGGCACACUUAACGCGUUAGCUCCGGCACAGCCAGGGUUGAGCCUAGCUACACCAAGUGUGCAUCGUUUACAGCUGGGACUAC